ACACGCGUUUGGACUCAGGGGGGAAACUAAAUCCCCCAAAAUUUUGAACACCCGCUUCCUCUUCCUCUCUACUCUCUACACCCGCCAAAUCAACUUCAUUCUCUCCCUUCUUUCUCUCUGCAAACCCCUUCUUCUCCGAUCGACUUUCACUUCCUUCUAUGUGCAAACCCUAAUCAAACAUAACACAUUUGAAAUAGUAAUAUCUUCUUUCAUUUUCUCCCCUACUACUCUCUGUAAAACCUAGCAGCCGCCACCACUAGAAACAUGGAAAAUCCCCCAAAAUUUUGAAGUACCCCGCUCACUCCUCUCAAUAUCUCUUGCGCUUUCGUAUUUAUAGCCAGAGUUGGAGAGCGAAAAGAAGAAAGAAGAAAGAAAUGAUGUGAGGGUGUGAGGUGGCGUUCAAAGGUUGUCAAGGGGUUGUGAGGAGCUAUAGGGAUCAAGUUCGAGGUUGAAGAUUAGAAACCGAAGGUUGAAGAUCAGAUUUGGGAUUAGAUGAGUCGCUGGUACAACUGACGUCAUCGUGGUGUAGGUCAGAUGAGUCGCCGGAGUCCAGGCCAAGUAACAGUGUCGUUGGAGUUUCGGGAAGCUAACGAUGUCAUCAAUUCGAGUGCAGGUGAUGUGCCGAUUAUUGAUUUUGGAUCAAUUACUAACUGUUUGCCAUUUUCUUUCUAGAAAAUCAAUGUAGUGUCUGCUUCUUAAUCUUGUUCUCUAUGAGUACCAUUGUUACCGUCUCUGGUAAAAACAUCUAACCAUAUGCCAGAUUCGUUGAUUCAGGUUCUCCUCUUCUCCUUUACGUCCCUAAACUUCUUUUCAAUCAACACAAUUAAGUUUUUACUGCCCACUAAGUGUUUGAUUAUUUGCUUCACUGAGUAUUGCAAUAUUUGAUUAUCAAAUCAAGGCCCCUGUCUCAUCUUGUGUAAUCCAUUUUUGAUACUAGUAUUGUUGUUGUAUGUUAAAAGGCUACAAAAGUACUUGUUAAAGAGUAUGAGUUUGAUGAAAAGAAGAUGGCAAAUGUGCAGUCUCAUCUGGAAAAAUUGGUUGCCAAUAACUAUUACUUGAACAGGUCUCCAAAAGAUGCGUACAGAUAAAUAUAUUAUUCAUGAAGUGAAGGCAAGAAUAGUUGAAUGGUAUAUGAUUAUGAACAGGGGCAAAUGCGUAAAACAAAUUAUGAUUCUUUUUAUUAUGGAUGGUGCACAGGACAAGGGCAGGCUGGUCAAGACUGGAAGCUUUACACAUUCAUAUCCAUUUUGUUGAAGAUCUGAUACCCCUCUUAUCUACAGAGCAGUUCCCAUGAUGAGCAGUUGCUUGAAGCAGCUUGGUGUCUUACAAACAUAGCUGCUGGAAAACCUAAAGAAACAAGAGCUUAAUUGCCUGCAUUACCUUUACUCAUUGCUCAAAUUGGAGAGUUCAGUGCCUGUUGCAGAGCAGUGUGCUUAAGCAUUAGGAAAUGUUGCAGGAGAAGGUGAAGAACCGAGACAAAUUCUGAUUUCUCAAGGGGCAUUACUUCCUCUUGCAAAAAUGAUGUUGCCAAAUAAAGUUUCAGUUAACGGGUGAACCAAGUUUCUCUGAAAUGGCGACAGCAUUGUCAGGGCCUCCUUAUAUCUUUGUUUCUACUCCAGCUUGUGUCCAAAGAUGUCUUUCAUCAGGUGUUCUUCAAGCAAAAUCCGUUCAUGAUUAUCUUUCAAUUAUUAUUCUUGAUAAGAUCUUAUUUUUACAUAUGGAUAUGAAAAGAAUCUCAAAGAUCUCAAAACUCACAUUCCUAAAAGAUGUCAAUGCCUUCUCAUGGCUGCUACCUCAAGCUUGAAGAAGCUUUAUCUACACAAUCCCUAUAUUCUUACUUUAGCAGAAGUUGGUGAUGGAAAGGACGAAAUUGUCCCCAAAAAUGUUCAGCAAUUUUGGUUUGGUAUAAAAUCUGCUGUGUUAAAUGCUGAAUUGCCUGUGAAUUGACGUCUACAUAUUCUUGAGGGUUUUGGUUCUUAAAUGAAUAAAGAAAACAAAUUUCCUGGGCGGGAAAGAAGCAGACAUACUUGCUGGUAAGAUGAGUAUGGUACAGUUGCAAGGGCGGGACCAGUUGCUGACAGCACAAAAUGAAAUGCUCAAGGUACUCUACUCUACUGCUUCAUCAUAUAUGUCUGCAAGUUUGGUUGGCAGUUUCCCUUAUUACAGAUGCGUUGGCUGCAUCUGGUCAGGCGUUGAUUGCUAGUUCGGUUUCAAAAGGGAAUUAUAGAUCUGUGAAGGAUAUCACAUACUUCGUGUUGACUAUUGGUUUUGUGAUGGGUGUUACUUUGGCUGCAAUAUUGGGAGUUUCAUUUGGUUCCAUAGUCACACUGUUCACUAAGGACAUUGGAGUAUUGGCGAUUGCUAGAACCGGGGUUUUGUUUGUGAGUGCUAGUCAGCCUUUGAAUGCUUUUGCUUUUAUUGUUGAUGGUUUGCAUUAUGGAGUUUCAGACUUCCCGUAUGCUGCUUAUUCCAUGGCCAAAACCAUUGCAUUUUGCAAUAGUUGAUGAACUUGAUUAUGUCCUAAUUGAUGAGGGAAGAAACCCAUUGCUGAUAAGGGGUGAGGCUAGCAAGGAUGCUGCACGUAACACAGUUGCUGCUAAAGUAGCUGAGCUUCUCAUGCGUGGCCUCGUAUUUUACUUUUUUGCCCUUCUUUUUCCUUUUUGAUGUCUUGUUAUCCAUCUCCAUUGUAUGCGUAUCUCAUUAUUUGUUCCAC